rnacentral:rRNA from 1 species
GAUCAUGGCUCAGGAUGAACGCUAGCUACAGGCUUAACACAUGCAAGUCGAGGGGCAGCAUGAACUUAGCUUGCUAAGUUUGAUGGCGACCGGCGCACGGGUGAGUAACACGUAUCCAACCUGCCUACCACUUGGGGAUAACCUUGCGAAAGUAAGACUAAUACCCAAUGACAUCCCACGAAGACAUCUGAAUGGGAUUAAAGAUUUAUCGGUGAUGGAUGGGGAUGCGU